CCUACGGGAGGCUGCAGUAGGGAAUAUUGGACAAUGGAGGCAACUCUGAUCCAGCCAUCCCGCGUGAAGGAUUAAGGCCUCUGGGUUGUAAACUUCUUUUCUCUGGGAAUAGGUACCAGAGGAAUAAGCACCGGCUAACUCCGUGCCAGCAGCCGCGGUAAUACGGAGGGUGCAAGCGUUAUCCGGAUUCACUGGGUUUAAAGGGUGCGUAGGUGGUCUGUUAAGUCAGCGGUGAAAGCCUGGAGCUCAACUCCAGAAUUGCCAUUGAUACUGACGGACUUGAAUCAAGUAGAGGUGGAUGGAAUAUUACAUGUAGCGGUGAAAUGCUUAGAUAUGUAAUAGAACACCGAUUGCGAAGGCAGUUCACUAUGCUUGAUUGACACUGAGGCACGAAAGCGUGGGGAUCAAACAGGAUUAGAUACCCUUGUAGUC
rnacentral:rRNA from 1 species